rnacentral:rRNA from 1 species
CAGUAGCGCGGUAAUACGAAGGGGGCUAGUGUUGUUCGGAAUUACUGGGCGUAAAGCGCACGUAGGCGGAUAUUUAAGUCAGGGGUGGAAUCCCAGAGCUCAACUCUGGAACUGCCUUUGAUACUGGGUAUCUUGAGUAUGGAAGAGGUGAGUGGAAUUCCGAGUGUAGAGGUGAAAUUCGUAGAUAUUCGGAGGAACACCGGUGGCGAAAGCGGCUCUCUGGCUUGUAACUGACGCUGAGGCUCGAAAGCGUGGGGAGCAAACAGGAUUAGAUACCCGGGUAGUCCCUGUCUCUUAUACA